rnacentral:rRNA from 1 species
UACGUAGGGAGCAAGCGUUGUCCGGAUUUACUGGGUGUAAAGGGUGCGUAGGCGGCUUUGCAAGUCAGAUGUGAAAUCUAUGGGCUUAACCCAUAGCCUGCAUUUGAAACUGCAGAGCUUGAGUGAAGUAGAGGCAGGCGGAAUUCCCCGUGUAGCGGUGAAAUGCGUAGAGAUGGGGAGGAACACCAGUGGCGAAGGCGGCCUGCUGGGCUUUAACUGACGCUGAGGCACGAAAGCGUGGGUAGCAAACAGG